rnacentral:lncRNA from 1 species
GUGUGCUCUGAGAAGCAAAAGCCCCUUACCUUUCUCCAAAGACAGCUCUGCAUAGCCCCAUCACUUAAGGAAGAGCAUCAUUUCAACCUCGAGGGUUCUGAUCUUAAUAGCCCCCUCCCGCCCCCCGCAGCUCAAUGGAGCCAUAGUCCCAAGUCUGUUCUUAGUCUCAGAGAAGCCGUCAGGGCUGGGGGCCAGGUGUCUGCUUCUCUGCACGUCAAGGGGAGGAUCAGACCUUCCAGAAGGGUCGCUGGUUUUGUCCAGAGGAGCGUAAGGCUGUCCGAGAUUUCCCGGUCUGCACCCAUCAUGCAUGUGGGAUCAUACAACACAUGGCCUUUGGUGUUUGGCUUUUUACUUUCCAUCACGGAGCCAAGGUCCGUCCAUGCAGCGGCACGAACCCGAACUCCGUUCUUCCCCGGGUUGAAGAAAUAACACCCCGGCGUGUGGAUUCACCACACUCUGCUUAUCUGUGCUUUCGAGGUCGGACCUUUGGGUCAUUUCCAUCUUGGGCUGUACUGCUGUGAACGUCUGUAUUCAAGAUUUUUUUGAACACCAGUUUUCGAUUCUUUGAGGGUCUGUUUCUAGGAGUGGAAUUGCUGGGUCAUUCGGUGGUUCGGUGGUUAGCUCACCGAGAGCCACCAGAUUGGUUUUGCUGAUGGCCGCACCCCCGAGCUUCCCCGGCAGCAGGCAGGAGCUUCCGGUUCUCCCCUCCUCUCCCAUGCUCGUC